ACGACAUGUAACCCUAAUUUUGUCCCAAAAAAAAACUCACAAUCUCUCUCUCAAACGGCGCUCAGCGCUUCUCCUCUGCUGUUUUCAGAUUCAACGAGAACUUCGGUUUUUCCAAAUAUGCAGAGAGAGGAUGCAUUUGGCUUUAGCAGAGGAGAUAUCCAAAGAGAAACAAAUGCUCUGCGACGGAGACAGGUGGCAGGAGAUGUGGAAGAGGGCUUUGUUCAACUCGUUCCUUCAAGUUGACUCGGAGAUUGAGUCAGUCGCACCUGGAAAUGGAUCUCGACUAGCUAAGAAAAGGUUUCACUAUAUUGGCUACUCAAGGCGGGGAUGAGACUCUCUUUAUACAACAGCAGAGGACUGCGGCUAACAAGAAGGUUUCUGGUUCGGUUUUGGUGUGUGAGGGCUUGUGAAUGUUAAUGAAGUUACUAGCUUUUUGACACUAUUCACAAAAGAUUAGAGAAGGCAAUGGCGUACAUGAGUGUAGCUGCAGUAGCAGCAGCAGCAGCAGAGUCUGGUCUGAUCUGAAACAUGUUCUUUUUGUUUGAUCAUUCCACGCUUGGGAAAGGAUUACUACAAUCAGAAAGCUUGAUACCCUUAGCAAGGAACUUAGGUUGCAAUUUGUUUUGUCUGAAAAUAUGUAGUAAUUUUAAUAAAGUUUUAUUGUCUACUGAUGUAAGAAAUUAUAUCUCAUUGGUUGACUAAACUCAGUUCCAUCAGAUCUUGUAAUCAAAAAACUACUUUGUAUAGUUAACUUGUGAUUU